UACGUAGGGUGCGAGCGUUAAUCGGAAUUACUGGGCGUAAAGCGUGCGCAGGCGGUUUUGUAAGUCAGAUGUGAAAUCCCCGGGCUUAACCUGGGAAUGGCAUUUGGGACUGCAAGGCUCGAGUGCGGCAGAGGAGACUGGAAUUCCUGGUGUAGCAGUGAAAUGCGUAGAUAUCAGGAGGAACACCGAUGGCGAAGGCAGGUCUCUGGGCCGAUACUGACGCUGAGGAGCGAAAGCGUGGGGAGCGAACAGG
rnacentral:rRNA from 1 species